GACAUAGGUUGCGAACGUUAUCCGGAAUUAUUGGGCGUAAAGGAUGCGUAGAUGGUUUGAUAAGUUAUCAGUGGCAAAUCGAGGCUCAACCUCGUGGAAGCUGGUAAUACUGUCAUACUCGAGUGCAGGAGAAGUUAACGGAACUCUAUAUGGAGCGGUAAAAUGUGACGAUAUAUAGAAGAACACCAAUAAGGCGAAGGCAGUUAGCUAUUCUGUUACUGACAUUGAGGCAUGAAAGCGUGGGGAGCAAAACGG
rnacentral:rRNA from 1 species